rnacentral:rRNA from 1 species
CAGCAGCCGCGGGAAUACCGAGGGUGCGAGCGUUAAUCGGAUUUACUGGGCGUAAAGCGUGCGUAGGCGGCUUCUUAAGUCGGAUGUGAAAUCCCUGAGCUUAACUUAGGAAUUGCAUUCGAUACUGGGAAGCUAGAGUAUGGGAGAGGAUGGUAGAAUUCCAGGUGUAGCGGUGAAAUGCGUAGAGAUCUGGAGGAAUACCGAUGGCGAAGGCAGCCAUCUGGCCUAAUACUGACGCUGAGGUACGAAAGCAUGGGGAGCAAACAGGAUUAGAUACCCCUGUAGUCCCUGUCUCUUAUAU